rnacentral:rRNA from 1 species
UACGUAGGGUGCAAGCGUUUGUCCGGAAUUAUUGGGCGUAAAGAGCUCGUAGGCGGUCUGUCGCGUCUGCUGUGAAAACUCAGGGCUUAACCCUGAGCUUGCAGUGGGUACGGGCAGACUAGAGUGCGGUAGGGGAGACUGGAAUUCCUGGUGUAGCGGUGAAAUGCGCAGAUAUCAGGAGGGAACACCCGGGUGGCGAAGGCGGGUCUCUGGGCCGUAACUGACGCUGGAGGAGCGAAAGCAUGGGGAGCGAACAGG